GCGGAAGUGGCGGAAUUGGCAGACGCACCAGACUUAGGAUCUGGCGCCUUACGGCGUGGGGGUUCAAGUCCCUUCUUCCGCACCA
rnacentral:tRNA from 1 species